rnacentral:tRNA from 1 species
GUAAAUAUAGUUUAAAAAAACAUUAGAUUGUGAUUCUAAAAUUAAAAACUAAACCUUUUUUAUUUACC